rnacentral:rRNA from 1 species
UGUGUAGGUGGCGCCGUAAGUCGGGUGUGAAAUCUCGGGGCUUAACUCCGAAACUGCAUUCGAUACUGCGGUGCUUGAGGACUGGAGAGGAGACUGGAAUUCAUGGUGUAGCAGUGAAAUGCGUAGAGAUCAUGAGGAAGACCAGUGGCGAAGGCGGGUCUCUGGACAGUUCCUGACACUGAGACACGAAGGCCAGGGAGCAAAC